ACACCUGUAGUCAGUAGUGAGACAACUCGAGAAGGAUUCAGGUGAAAAUCGAAAUCCUGUGAACCUAUACUAAAUCUCUGAGCUCAAUUUAGAGAAAGUGAAACUGUUGGUUAUGAACUUUUGGGUCAAUUAGUUCCGUGAAGAUUUGAGAGUAUUGGAAAAGGGUUUCUUUUUCUCGUUCCGGACUUGAGAUUGAAGGUGUCUUUGGCUUCGUUAGGCGAGCUUCAGAGGUUAAGGUUUUAAUUGCGUUUAGAGUGGCAGGUAACCUUGAUGUGAGUGGUAUUGACUCGGGUGAAGGAGAGUUUUGCGUUUGGGUCGAGUGAAGGGUCUCGGUUUAUGUAUAGGGAGGUGACUGUCGGUUUCUUUUUGUGGCAGUUUUGUGUUUCUAGUCUUUGAAGAUAUUAAGAUAUAUGUUCUUGUUGCGUGGGCAGAGAAUGACUGAUAAUACUGAAAAAUCGGAGGGUGGAUCUGGUUAGAGAAUUGAGACCGAUAAUAUGGAUAUAUUAAUGAAGUCUAUGGAAGAUAUGAGAGAGCAUCGGUGAUUAUUAGAAGGAAGGAUUGGGUUUUGCCACCAGGAAAUAGUCCAAUUAAUACAGGUCAUGCUCCAACGCCAGACGAUAUGUUAGUGCCAGUGUGGAAACAACAUCAAUUUGGGCAGUUAUUUCAAAAAUAUCUAAAGCUUGCUCCAGAAGAAUUCAGUGGAACCCCUCCAAACCCAGAGAAGACAGAAGAAUGGUUGAAAAAUGCAGAACAGGUAUCCAAUGAUAUAAUCACUUGGGUUAAGUUACCUACAUAUUUCGAGGACCAUCACGAGAUUGGUGGAAUGCAGUAAUGAAAGUGGAAGGCGGAAAAAUAACUUGGGAUAGGUUUAAAGUCUUAUUUAUAGAUCAGUACAUACCUGAUUCAACAAGAGAUAGAAAAUUUUCUGAGUUCAUGUCUUUCACAAAGGGUGAUAUGUCCGUUAGUGCUUAUAAUGAUAAAUUUUUAAGGUUUUCGCGUUAUGGAACAGAAUUGACAACCACUGAUGAGGCUAAAGCAAAGAAGUUUAUCAGAGGUUUGGAUCCUGAGAUGCGAAAACAACUUUCAUGUUUACGAAUCAAGACUUAUGAAUAUGCUUUGAAUUCGUCUCUUGAUUAUGAAAAGGAGAUGGAUGAUAAACUUGCAACACGAGUUGGAGAAAGGCCGCAAAAAUUUUCAUCAAGACAAGAUCCUGCAAAACGACCAAUGAUGUCAUUUCCUGGUCAUACAUUCUACAGACCACCAGUAAGACCUUGGCAAAUGGGAUCAACAUUAAGACCUAUUGCACCAUGCCCAUCUUCAGUUAGACCGCAAGGGCAGACAUUUCGACCACAAGGGAGGUGGAUGCGUUUUCAAAAAGUACGUCCAGAUGCACCAACAAAUUCUCAUUCGAAUUUUGAAAAAUGUUGGGAAUGUGGAAAGACUGAUCAUCUUAGAAGAGAUUGCCCACAGUAACAUAGACCACCAACAGGGCUACCACAACAAGGAAUGGUAUAUGCUAUGGAAUCCGCAGAAAUUUCUACUCCAGAGACAUCACAAGAGAACCAAGUAUUUUACACCGUGAUGGAAGGGGACGGCUCGGCGACCAAUCAGGUGGUUGAAGUGGCAGGUAACCUUGAUGUGAGUGGUAUUGACUCGGGUGAAGGAGAGUUUUGCGUUUGGGUCGAGUGAAGGGUCUCGGUUUAUGUAUAGGGAGGUGACUGCCGGUUUCGUUUUGUGGCAGUUUUGUGCUUGUAGUCUUUGAAGGUGAUGUGUUUUAACUUAAAGUCUAACUAGUGUAAAUUGUGUGUAUAUAUCUACCUAUCACAAACACACUGUUUCUAAUUGUUUGGUAAAGUUAUGUAUGUAAAUUACUCCUUUUAAAAUCUUAAGUAGAUCUUGUUUGAGGUAGCAUGUUUCUUUUUGAAUCCUUGUAAGUUUUCAUUGUGUGUAAUACUUAAAGGUCUUUUUCUCA